rnacentral:tRNA from 1 species
CAUUAAGUGACUGAAAGUAAGUAAUGGUCUCUUAAACCAAAACAUGGUAACUGACACCUACCCUUAAUGA